rnacentral:rRNA from 1 species
GACGAACCGUGCGAACGUUGUUCGGAAUCACUGGGCUUAAAGGGCGCGUAGGCGGGCCCGCAAGUCAGGGGUGAAAUCCCACGGCUCAACCGUGGAAGUGCCUUUGAUACUGCGGGUCUGGAGGGAGGUAGGGGCGUGCGGAACUUCCGGUGGAGCGGUGAAAUGCGUAGAUAUCGGAAGGAACACCGGUGGCGAAAGCGGCGCGCUGGACCUCUACUGACGCUGAGGCGCGAAAGCCAGGGGAGCAAAGCGGG